rnacentral:tRNA from 1 species
GGAGAGGUGUCCGAGUGGUCGAAGGAGCAUGCUUGGAAAGCAUGUAAACAGUUUCUGUUUCGUGGGUUCGAAUCCCACUCUCUCCA